UGGCGGCAGUAGCGCGGUGGUCCCACCUGACCCCAUGCCGAACUCAGAAGUGAAACGCCCGAGCUGGGUUUAGAACGUCGUGAGACAGUUCGGUCCCUAUC
rnacentral:rRNA from 1 species